UACGUAGGUGGCAAGCGUUAUCCGGAAUUAUUGGGCGUAAAGCGCGCGCAGGCGGUUUCUUAAGUCUGAUGUGAAAGCCCACGGCUCAACCGUGGAGGGUCAUUGGAAACUGGGGAACUUGAGUGCAGAAGAGAAAAGCGGAAUUCCACGUGUAGCGGUGAAAUGCGUAGAGAUGUGGAGGAACACCAGUGGCGAAGGCGGCUUUUUGGUCUGUAACUGACGCUGAGGCGACGAAAGCGUGGGGAGCAAACAGGG
rnacentral:rRNA from 1 species